CCUACGGGAGGCAGCAGUGGGGAAUCUUGCGCAAUGGGCGAAAGCCUGACGCAGCCAUGCCGCGUGAAUGAUGAAGGUCUUAGGAUUGUAAAAUUCUUUCACCGGGGACGAUAAUGACGGUACCCGGAGAAGAAGCCCCGGCUAACUUCGUGCCAGCAGCCGCGGUAAUACGAAGGGGGCUAGCGUUGCUCGGAAUUACUGGGCGUAAAGGGAGCGUAGGCGGAUAGUUUAGUCAGAGGUGAAAGCCCAGGGCUCAACCUUGGAAUUGCCUUUGAUACUGGCUAUCUUGAGUGUGGGAGAGGUAUGUGGAACUCCGAGUGUAGAGGUGAAAUUCGUAGAUAUUCGGAAGAACACCAGUGGCGAAGGCGACAUACUGGCCCAUUACUGACGCUGAGGCUCGAAAGCGUGGGGAGCAAACAGGAUUAGAUACCCUGGUAGUCCACGCUGUAAACGAUGAGUGCUAGUUGUCGGCAGGCAUGCCUGUCGGUGACGCAGCUAACGCAUUAAGCNCUCGCCGUGGAGACGCCGCGAGAUAACUACAAUAGAGUAGACGACGUGAGACGUGCGACGACGACGACGAGGGAGAGG
rnacentral:rRNA from 1 species